GCAAGAGCAUUUUGCCAGCCAGCAGCCCACAUCUUAGGGCCCUCCAUAGCUAUUGCAAAAGGGGUAAGGAUCAACAAAGACAAAAUAGACAAACAAGCAUAGUAGUUCAUCCCACUAACAGAAUUCCCCUUCAUCCCCUUCUUUGAGAAUAUGUUCCGAAACACAAAUGCCAAAUUGGAGAUCAUAGCCCCCAUAAACCCAGUCAUGUUGAAAUUGAGCUCAGUGACAGCUGCCAGAGCGCAACCUCCAAUAAUUGGCGCAAGUGAUAGAUAAACAGGCACAGGGAAUGUCUCACCCAACAGAAAUCUUGACACCAGAACACUGAAAGCAGGCUCGCCGCUCUUGAUGAUGUGAGUGAACGACACUGCAACUUUAGACAUGCUCACAGUUGCAGCCACAUGCCCAAUUGUGUGAGCAACCGCAACAGGAAACAGAGUCUUCCAAAACUCGAACUCAGUUUUUGGGGCAUCAGCGAUCCUCGUAGCCCAAGAAAUCAGCAUCAAGAGAGACCCACAAGCAAGGGAGAGCGUAGAAGUGAGCCAAGGAUAAGGG
rnacentral:misc_RNA from 1 species